UACGGAGGGUGCAAGCGUUGUCCGGAAUCACUGGGCGUAAAGGGCGCGUAGGCGGCCCGGUAAGUAGGGGGUGAAAUCCUGCGGCUUAACCGCAGGGCUGCCUUCUAAACUGUCGGGCUCGAGCACGGUAGAGGCAGAUGGAAUUCCCGGUGUAGCGGUGGAAUGCGUAGAGAUUUGGAGGAACACCAGUGGCGAAGGCGACUUUCUGGUCUGUAACUGACACUGAGGCGCGAAAGCGUGGGGAGCAAACAGG
rnacentral:rRNA from 1 species